rnacentral:rRNA from 1 species
UAUGACCAUACCACCCUGAAUAUGCUGGAUCUUGUCUGAUCUCAGGAACUAAGCAGAGUUGGGCCUGGUUAGUACUUGGAUGGGAGAAUUUCAUACAUGACAAUUAGUUCAGGCAAAGGUGAUAA